rnacentral:rRNA from 1 species
AUUGAACGCUGGCGGCAUGCCUUACACAUGCAAGUCGAACGGCAGCGCGGGAGCAAUCCUGGCGGCGAGUGGCGAACGGGUGAGUAAUACAUCGGAACGUGCCCAAUCGUGGGGGAUAACGCAGCGAAAGCUGUGCUAAUACCGCAUACGAUCUACGGAUGAAAGCAGGGGAUCGCAAGACCUUGCGCGAAUGGAGCGGCCGAUGGCAGAUUAGGUAGUUGGUGAGGUAAAGGCUCACCAAGCCUUCGAUCUGUAGCUGGUCUGAGAGGACGACCAGCCACACUGGGACUGAGACACGGCCCAGACUCCUACGGGAGGCAGCAGUGGGGAAUUUUGGACAAUGGGCGAAAGCCUGAUCCAGCCAUGCCGCGUGCAGGAUGAAGGCCUUCGGGUUGUAAACUGCUUUUGUACGGAACGAAACGUUCUUUUCUAAUAAAGAAGGCUAAUGACGGUACCGUAAGAAUAAGCACCGGCUAACUACGUG